GACGAACGCUGGCGGCGUGCCUAAUACAUGCAAGUUGAGCGCUGAAGGUUGGUACUUGUACCGACUGGAUGAGCAGCGAACGGGUGAGUAACGCGUGGGGAAUCUGCCUUUGAGCGGGGGACAACAUUUGGAAACGAAUGCUAAUACCGCAUAAAAACUUUAAACACAAGUUUUAAGUUUGAAAGAUGCAAUUGCAUCACUCAAAGAUGAUCCCGCGUUGUAUUAGCUAGUUGGUGAGGUAAAGGCUCACCAAGGCGAUGAUACAUAGCCGACCUGAGAGGGUGAUCGGCCACAUUGGGACUGAGACACGGCCCAAACUCCUACGGGAGGCAGCAGUAGGGAAUCUUCGGCAAUGGACGAAAGUCUGACCGGGCAACGCCGCGUGAGUGAAGAAGGUUGUCGGAUCGUAAAACUCUGUUGGUAGAGAAGAACGUUGGUGAGAGUGGAAAGCUCAUCAAGUGACGGUAACUACCCAGAAAGGGACGGCUAACUACGUG
rnacentral:rRNA from 1 species